GAUGAACGCUGGCGGCGUGCCUAAUACAUGCAAGUCGAGCGAACAGAUGAGGAGCUUGCUCCUCUGACGUUAGCGGCGGACGGGUGAGUAACACGUGGAUAACCUACCUAUAAGAUUGGGAUAACUUCGGGAAACCGGAGCUAAUACCGGAUAAUAUAUUGAACCGCAUGGUUCAAUAGUGAAAGACGGUUUUGCUGUCACUUAUAGAUGGAUCCGCGCCGCAUUAGCUAGUUGGUAAGGUAACGGCUUACCAAGGCAACGAUGCGUAGCCGACCUGAGAGGGUGAUCGGCCACACUGGAACUGAGACACGGUCCAGACUCCUACGGGAGGCAGCAGUAGGGAAUCUUCCGCAAUGGGCGAAAGCCUGACGGAGCAACGCCGCGUGAGUGAUGAAGGUCUUCGGAUCGUAAAACUCUGUUAUUAGGGAAGAACAAAUGUGUAAGUAACUAUGCACGUCUUGACGGUACCUAAUCAGAAAGCCACGGCUAACUACGUG
rnacentral:rRNA from 1 species